rnacentral:rRNA from 1 species
AUUGAACGCUGGCGGCAGGCCUAACACAUGCAAGUCGAGCGAGAGGCGGACGGGUGAGUAAUGUCUGGGAGACUGCGUGAUGGGGGGGGGGAACUACUGGAAACGGUAGCGAAAACCGCAUACCAUCAGAUGUGCCCAGAUGGGAUUAGAUAGUAGGUGGGGUAACGGCUCACCUAGGCGACGAUCCCUAGCUGGUCUGAGAGGAUGACCAGCCACACUGGAACUGGGACACGGCCCAGACUCCUACGGGAGGCAGCAUUGGGGAAUAUUGCACAAUGGGCGCAAGCCUGAUGCAGCCAUGCCGCGUGUAUGAAGAAGGCCGUCGGGUUGUAAAGUACUUUCAGCGGGGAGGCGUUACCCGCAGAAGAAGCACCGGCUAACUCCGUGCCAGCAGCCGCGGUAAUAC